AUAUUUGUGUUCUCCUCCAAAGUAGUUGGGACUAAUAUCAAAUCCCCAUCAGGCUGCCUCCGUCUUCAAGCGAGCCUGCCACUGAACAUUUGGCACCACAGCAAUAAGGCUGACAGUAUUUGUCUUCUCCUCUGAAAUAGUUGUGACUGAUCUCAAGUCCCCAUCAGGGUUGACUCAGCCUUCAAGUGAGCCUGCCAGUGAACAUCCAGCACCACAGCAAUAAAGCCGACAGUAUUUUUGUUCUCCUCCAAAUUAGCUGUGCCUGAUCUUGAGUCCCCUUCAGGGUUGACUCAGCAUUCAAGUGAGCCUGCCAGUGAACAUCCAGCACCACAGCAAGAAAUCUGACAAUAUUUGUGUUCUCCUCCAAAGCAGUUGGGACUAAUAUCAAGUCCCCAUCAGGCUGACUCCUUCUUCAAGUGAGCCUCCCACUGAACAUCUGGUACCACAGCAAUAAAGCUGACAGUAUUUUUGUUCUCCUCCAAAUUAGCUGUGACCAAUCUUGAGUCCCCAUGAGGGUUGACUCAGCCUUCAAGUGAGCCUGUGACUGAACAUCCGGCACCACAGGAAGAAAAGUGACAGUAGUUGUGUUCUCCUCCGAUAUAGUUGUGACUGAUCUUGAGUCCUCUUCAGGGUUUUGGAGGAGAGCACAACUACUGUCAGAUUUCUUCCUGUGGUGCCGGAUGUUCAGUCACAGGCUCACUUGAAGGCUGAGUCAACCCUCAUGGGGACUCAAGAUUGGUCACAGCUAAUUUGGAGGAGAACAAAAAUACUGUCAGCUUUAUUGCUGUGGUACCAGAUGUUCAGUGGGAGGCUCACUUGAAGAAGGAGUCAGCCUGAUGGGGACUUGAUAUUAGUCCCAACUGCUUUGGAGGAGAACACAAAUAUUGUCAGAUUUCUUGCUGUGGUGCUGGAUGUUCACUGGCAGGCUCACUUGAAUGCUGAGUCAACCCUGAAGGGGACUCAAGAUCAGGCACAGCUAAUUUGGAGGAGAACAAAAAUACUGUCGGCUUUAUUGCUGUGGUGCCAUAUAUUCAGUGGCAGACCUUCAAGUGAGCCUGCCACUGAACAUCCGGCACCACAGGAGAAAGCUAACCGUAUUUGUGUUCUCCUAUGAAAUAGUUGUGACUGAUCAUGAGUCCCCAGGAGGGUCGACUCAGCCUUCAAGUGAGCCUGCCAGUGAACAUCCAGCACAACAGGACGAAGGCUGACAGUAUUUGUGUUCUACUUCAAAGUAGUUGUGACUGAACUUGAGUCCCCUUCAGGGUUGACUCAGUCUUCAAGUGAGCCUGUCACCGAACAUCCGGCACCACAGCAAGAAAGGUGACAGUAUUUGUGUUCUCCUCUGAAAUAGUUCUGACCUGAUCUUGAGUCCCCUUCAGGGUUGACUCAGCCUUCAGGUGAGCAUGCCACUGAACAUCUGGCCCCACAUCAAGAAAGCUGACAGUAUUUGUACUCUCCUGCAAAAUAGUUGUGACUGAUCUUGAGUCCCCUUCAGGGUUGACUCAGCCUUCAAAUGAGCCUGCCACUGAACAUCCAGCAGCACAGCAAGAAAGCUGACAGUAUUUGUGUUCUCUGAAAUAAUUGUGACUGAUCUUGAGUCCCCUUCAGGGUUGACUCUGCCUUCAAUUGAGCCUGCCACUGAACAUCUGGCACCACGGCAAGAAAGCUGACAAUAUUUGUGUUCUCCUCCAAAAUAGUUGGGACUAAUAUCAAGUCCCCAUCAGGCUGCCUCCAUCUUCAAGUGAGCCUGCCACUGAACAUCUGGCACCACAGCAAGAAAGUUGACAGUAUUUGUGUUCUCCGCCAAAAUAGUUGUGACUGAUCUUGAGUCCCCAUCAGGGUUGACUCAGCCUUCAAAUGAGCCUGCCACUGAACAUCCAGCAGCACAGCAAGAAAGCUGACAGUAUUUGUGUUCUCCUUUGAAAUAAUUGUGACUGAUCUUGAGUCCCCUUCAGGGUUGACUCUGCCUUUGAUUGAACCUGCCACUGAACAUCUGGCACCACAGCAAGAAAGCUGACAAUAUUUGGGUUCUCCUAUGAAAUAGUUGGGACUAAUAUCAAGUCCCCAUCAGGCUGCCUCUGUCUUCAAGUGAGCCUACUGCUGAACAUUUGGCACCAUGGCAAGGAAGCUGACAGUAUUUGUGUUCUUCUCCAACAUAAUUUUGACUGAUCUCAAGUCCCUAUCAGGGCUGAUUCCGCCUUCAGCUGAGCCUGCUACGGAACACCUGGCACCACAGCAAAAAAGCUGACCAUAUUUGUGUUCUGCCCCAAAGUAGUUGAGACUGAUCUGUAGUCCCUAUCAGGCUUGACUCAGUCUUCAAUGAGCCUGCUAUUGAACAUCUGGGACUACAGCAAGAGAGCUGACAGUAUUUGUGUUCUCCUCUAAAGUAGUUGUGAUUGAUCUCAAGUCCCAGUCAGGGCUGACUCCACCUUCAAGUGAACCUGCCGCUGAACAUCUGGCACCAUGGCAAGGAAGCUGACACUAUUUGUGUUCUCCUCUGAAGUAUUUGUGACUGAUCUCAAGUACCCGUCACUGUUGACUCUGGCUUCUACUGAGCCUGCUAGUGAACAUCCGGCACCACAACAAGAAAGCUGACAAUAUUUGUUUUCUUCUCCAACAUAAUUGUGACUGAUCUCAAGUCCCUAUCAGGGUUGAUUCCACCUUCAACUGAGUCUGCUACUGAACAUCUGGCACCACAACAAAAAAGCUGACCAUAUUUGUGUUCUGCUCCAAAGUAGUUGAGACUGAUCUGUAGUCCCUAUCAGGGUUGACUCAGUCUUCAAUGAGCCUGCUACUGAACAUCUGGGACCACAGCAAGAAAACUAACAGUAUUUGUUUUCUCCUCUAAAGUAGUUGUGACUGAUCUCUUGUCCCCAUCAGGGUUGACUCCACCUUCAACUGAGCCUGCCACUGAACAUCUGACACCACAGCAAGAAAGCUGACACUAUUUGUGUUAUCCUCCAAAGCAGUUGUGACUGAUCUUGAGUCCCCAUCAGGGUUGACUCCGCCUUCAAGUGAGCCUGCUACUGAACAUCCGACACCACAGGAAGAAAGAUGACAGUAUUUGUGUUCUCCUCUAAAGUGGUUGUGACUGAUUUCGAGUCCCCAAUAGGGUUAACUCAGCCUUCAAGUGAGGCUGCCACUGAACAUUUGGCACCACAGCAAGAAAUCUGACAGUAUUUGUGUUCCCCUCUAAAGAGUUGUGACUGAUUUGAGUCCCCAUCAGGGUUGACUCUGCCUUCAAGUGAGCCUGCUACUGAACAUCGGGACCACAGCAAGAAAGCUGACAGUAUUUGUAUUAUCCUCCAACAUAAGAUCUCUUGAUGGGGACUGAUCUUGAGUCCCCAUCAGGGUUGACUUUGUCUUCAAGUGAGUCUGCCACUGAACAUCUGGCACCACAGCAAGAAAGCUGGCAGUAUUUGUGUUCUCCUCCAAAAUAGUGUUACUGAUCUUGAGUCCCCAUCAGGGUUGACUCUGCCUUUAGAUAAGCCUGCUACUGAACAUCUGAAACCACAGCAAGAAAGCUGACAGUAUUUGUAUGCUUCUAUAAAGCAAUUUUGAUUGUUCUCGAGUCCCUGUCAGGGUUGACUCUGCCUUCAAGUGAGCCUGCUACUGACCAUCAGUAACCACAGCAAGAAACCUGACAAUAUUUGUAUACUUAUUUACUGUGGUUUAAGACAAAUGUGAUUGUAACUUCAUGCCCAAUUAAAUAAAUUUUUAGUUGAUUAAAAAAAAAA